rnacentral:rRNA from 1 species
UACGAAGGUGGCAAGCGUUGUUCGGAUUUACUGGGCGUACAGGGAGCGUAGGCGGUUGGAUAAGUCCUCCGUGAAAUCUCCAGGCUUAACCUGGAAAGUGCAGAGGGGACUGUUCAGCUAGAGGAUGGGAGAGGAGCGCGGAAUUCCCGGUGUAGCGGUGAAAUGCGCAGAGAUCGGGAGGAAGGCCGGUGGCGAAGGCGGCGCUCUGGAACAUUUCUGACGCUGAGGCUCGAAAGCGUGGGGAGCAAACAGG